CCAAAGGCUCUUUUCAGGGCCACCCACAUGUCCACUAAGAGAGCUG
rfam:Felis catus isolate Cinnamon breed Abyssinian chromosome B2, whole genome shotgun sequence.